rnacentral:rRNA from 1 species
UACGAAGGGGGCUAGCGUUGUUCGGAAUCACUGGGCGUAAAGCGCACGUAGGCGGAUCUUUAAGUCAGGGGUGAAAUCCCGGAGCUCAACUCCGGAACUGCCUUUGAUACUGGGGAUCUCGAGUCCGGGAGAGGUGAGUGGAACUGCGAGUGUAGAGGUGAAAUUCGUAGAUAUUCGCAAGAACACCAGUGGCGAAGGCGGCUCACGGGCCCGGAAAUGACGAUGAGGUGCGAAAGCGUGGGGAGCAAACAGG